rnacentral:rRNA from 1 species
GACGAACGCUGGCGGCGUGCUUAACACAUGCAAGUCGAACGAUGAACUCCAGCUUGCUGGGGGGAUUAGUGGCGAACGGGUGAGUAACACGUGAGUAACCUGCCCUUGACUCUGGGAUAAGCGCUAGAAAUGGCGUCUAAUACCGGAUACGAGCUUCAGCCGCAUGGCUAGGAGUUGGAAAGAAUUUUGGUCAAGGAUGGACUCGCGGCCUAUCAGCUAGUUGGUGAGGUAAUGGCUCACCAAGGCGACGACGGGUAGCCGGCCUGAGAGGGUGACCGGCCGCACUGGGACUGAGACACGGCCCAGACUCCUACGGGAGGCAGCAGUGGGGAAUAUCGCACAAUGGGCGAAAGCCUGAUGCAGCAACGCCGCGUGAGGGAUGACGGCCUUCGGGUUGUAAACCUCUUUUAGUAGGGAAGAAGCGAAAGUGACGGUACCUGCAGAAAAAGCACCGGCUAACUACGUGCCAGCAGCCGCGGUAAUACGUAGGGUGCAAGCGUUGUCCGGAAUUAUUGGGCGUAAAGAGCUCGUAGGCGGUUUGUCGCGUCUGCUGUGAAAUCUGGGGGCUCAACCCCCAGCCUGCAGUGGGUACGGGCAGACUAGAGUGCGGUAGGGGAGAUUGGAAUUCCUGGUGUAGCGGUGGAAUGCGCAGAUAUCAGGAGGAACACCGAUGGCGAAGGCAGAUCUCUGGGCCGUAACUGACGCUGAGGAGCGAAAGCGUGGGGAGCGAACAGGAUUAGAUACCCUGGUAGUCCACGCCGUAAACGUUGGGAACUAGAUGUGGGGGCCAUUCCACGGUCUCCGUGUCGCAGCUAACGCAUUAAGUUCCCCGCCUGGGGAGUACGGCCGCAAGGCUAAAACUCAAAGGAAUUGACGGGGGCCCGCACAAGCGGCGGAGCAUGCGGAUUAAUUCGAUGCAACGCGAAGAACCUUACCAAGGCUUGACAUAUACCGGAAACGUCCAGAGAUGGUCGCCCCGCAAGGUCGGUAUACAGGUGGUGCAUGGUUGUCGUCAGCUCGUGUCGUGAGAUGUUGGGUUAAGUCCCGCAACGAGCGCAACCCUCGUUCUAUGUUGCCAGCACGUUAUGGUGGGAACUCAU